GACGAACGCUGGCGGCGUGCUUAACACAUGCAAGUCGAGCGGUAAGGCCCUUUCGGGGGUACACGAGCGGCGAACGGGUGAGUAGCACGUGGGUGACCUGCCCUCAGCUCUGGGAUAAGCCUGGGAAACCGGGUCUAAUACCGGAUAUGACUCCAUGACGCAUGUUGUGGGGUGGAAAGCCUUGUGCGGCUGAGGAUGGGCCCGCGGCCUAUCAGCUUGUUGGUGGGGUGANGGCCUACCAAGGCGACGACGGGUAGCCGGCCUGAGAGGGCGACCGGCCACACUGGGACUGAGACACGGCCCAGACUCCUACGGGAGGCAGCAGUGGGGAAUCUUGCGCAAUGGGCGAAAGCCUGACGCAGCGACGCCGCGUGAGGGAUGACGGCCUGGU
rnacentral:rRNA from 1 species